UUCGAUUUUACAAGUGGAGUUCCUCAAAAUAAAAAUAGCGUUGUGAGUUAGUUAACAGUGCACACAUCGUAUUAAAAUCUAAUUUAAUAAUUCUGAAAGCUAAAAAUAGUUUUUUUCGACGCGCCUCUACAGACGCGAAUGAUGCGGGAAAAGAGAAUGUUUUCGUUUACUUUCAACGUUUUGAAGUUUACUCGUACAUAAAAUUUUGUGUUUCGAUUUAAUUAUUAUGUCCCGCAAAUCUGGGACGAUUCCAAUCAUUCCAAAGUGUUGUGAUUGUGACAGCUACACUUCCACGCAAAAAACAAUCUUUUUAGGGAUUUGUCGCGGGAUUGUGUCUUUGAUUUCACUGGCUUUGUGUGUGGCAUUUCUAGCAAAUUUUGACAGUUUUAUCAUUUCUGAACACUUAAUAGAUCAACAAAGAGCCAAUACAGUACACAGUAUAUUAGUUGUGAUAAGUUUAGUCAACAUCAUCCAUUUGUUCGUAUCGAUUUUUAUCAUCUUGAUUGCCCGAUCAAAUAUUGGACACUCACGUAGUAUCAAAUUCUGGAUAAUUGUUGAUUUGGCCUUAGCCACAAUUUUUAUGUUGUGUGUUUUAAUAUUAUUAUUUACGAUGCCUUCACGCAAACUUUUCUUAAUUCUAGGAGCCAAACUGGUAAUUAUUUCCUUGUUUCUAUCAUACAGAUCCAGUGUUGCCUAUGUUGUGUAUAAGUCGGAUGAAGUUGGGAAUUUUUAAAAAAUAAAGAAUGUACCUAAUGAUUUAUGUACAUAAAUUACCAUAAGUAUGUAUAUGCAGGGUUCUGGAAUAUUACAAUUAACAAUGCAUUCUCGACCUUGAUUAUUGAGCACAAAACAAUGAUAUUGGGUUUUAGUUUUAUCGGGGUUCCACUAAUUAGCUCUCCACUAUUCUUAAAAAGAUUUCUCACAAGAAUUUUGCAACCAAAACUUGCUUCUCAGUGUUCUAAGUUCUCUUUAUUCACAUUCCUAGAACAAAUAUUUAAAACAAGUGUUGUACUCCAACAGGAAGAACAACUGUUUCGAAAUGGUAGAAGUAGUUGAAUCACAAAGUUCUAAUAAUAAUUCUGGUAAAAUAACUGUUUUACCCUCUUCGCUUGACUACCAUUCCUUCAGUCUCAAAAAGAGUUGGAUAGUUUUCUACAGUGUACGAAUAAUUAUCACAGCAAUUAUUAUUGCUUGCUUUGCCACUGAUUUAUAUUACGAGCCAUCUUUUGAUGGGAAAAUUAUACUGUGGUCAAUUAUUGGUUUACAUAUUGCCCAGUUUUUUUCAAAUCUUUAUAUGCUUACUAAAGUUUCGAACUAUGGAUUGGUACAUUUAUGUAAAAUAUGGUUUAUCAUGGAAAUCGUUUAUUUAGUAAUUUUUUCUGUGGAACUAGCCUCAUUUUUAGCGUUUAUUUCAUCGACUAUCAGAUGGGUCAAUAUAGUGAAAAUCAAAUUAAUUCUUGUUACAGUAUCAAUUUCCUCCAGAUAUGGGAGAUGGUUAUCAAAACAACAACAACAGCAUCCUUACCAAAUUCAAACCAAUGCAUAAGGAAAGACUGAAUUAAAACUAUUAUUAGAAAAAUUUUAUUUAUCCACAAUCACUCUAUAAAGAGACUUUAUUCCACACUUUAUAUGCAUAUCAAGUACCACUUUAUCCACUAGUGGAAUAAAGUAAC